GAAAUUCUGAGCUGCUGCAUGAACAUUCAUCAAACAUAAGGCUGCAAUUUGGAAAACUUUCAAGCUAAUGCUGCUGAAAUGGAGGUCAAGGGGACUAUGAAGAGGUGGCUCCAGCUGAUCAAACACACUCUGUUACAGUAAUCAGCUGAUCCAGUCGGUAUCCAGACCAGACGGUGGACCUGCACCCAGGAACGACCACAACACAUCCCUGACUGUCAGCGGAGACCAUGUCAGCUAGAUGACAGAUCCCUGUGAAGACCUCAUUGAUGGCCCCAGCACAGAUCCUCAGCAAAGACUACGAGAACCAGACAAGCCCUCUGCACAGACCCUUUUUACCAGCUUCACCUGCUGGCGUGAUAUUACUUCAAGCAGAAGAAGUUGGAUGAAAUAUUCUGAAUGAUAUCAAUCCACAAUCUGACUUGUGAUGCAGCCUGGAAUAAUCACACCACGUUGAUUCGUUUGGCCAGACGAGACUGUUUCCUGACUGAGCCGGGUCUUGUUUGGGUUCCUUGUCACUGUUGCCUUUUGUCUUGCUUGGUUGAAGACACCUAAUAUUCAGCAAUAUUAUUGACUUGACUGCACUGACACCAUUUGAUAAGAACUGAACUGAAUUAUGACACACAAUGUUUUAUAUAUGAAGAGUUUAUUUGCAAAAACAGAUAACUCCUUUUUUUUUUAAAUAUUUUUAAAAAUCAUGUUUUUUGU